rnacentral:rRNA from 1 species
AGAAUCAACGCUGGCGGCGUGCCUAACACAUGCAAGUCGAACGAGAAAGUGGAGCAAUCCAUGAGUAAAGUGGCGACCGGGUGAGUAACACGUGACUAACCUACCUUCGAGUGGGGGAUAACCUCGGGAAACCGGGGCUAAUACCGCAUAAUAUCCACGGAUCAAAGGAGCAAUUCGCUUGAAGAGGGGGUCGCGGCUGAUUAGUUAGUUGGCGGGGUAAUGGCCCACCAAGACAAUGAUCGGUAGCCGGCCUGAGAGGGCGCACGGCCACACUGGAACUGAAACACGGUCCAGACUCCUACGGGAGGCAGCAGUGGGAAUUUGCGCAAUGGGGGAAACCCUGACGCAGCAACGCCGCGUGGAGGAUGAAGUCCCUUGGGACGUAAACUCCUUUCGACUGGGAAGAUAAUGACGGUACCAGUGGAAGAAGCCCCGGCUAACUUCGUGCCAGCAGCCGC